CCAGACUCCUACGGGAGGCAGCAGUCGGGAAUAUUGCGCAAUGGAGGAAACUCUGACGCAGUGACGCCGCGUGCAGGAAGAAGGUUUUCGGAUUGUAAACUGCUUUAGACAGGGAAGAAAAAAGACAGUACCUGUAGAAUAAGCUCCGGCUAACUACGUGCCAGCAGCCGCGGUAAUACGUAGGGAGCAAGCGUUAUCCGGAUUUAUUGGGUUUAAAGGGUGCGCAGGCGGCGAGUUAAGUCAGCGGUAAAUUUUCGGGGCUCACCCCCGACAAGCCGUUGAAACUGGCUUGCUAGAGUGGGCGAGAAGUGUGCGGAAUGCGUGGUGUAGCGGUGAAAUGCAUAGAUAUCACGCAGAACUCCGAUUGCGAAGGCAGCAUACCGGCGCCCAACUGACGCUCAGGCACGAAAGCGUGGGUAUCGAACAGGAUUAGAUACCCGGGUA
rnacentral:rRNA from 1 species